UUCGACGCUUACGUCCUCUCCGAGUCGAGCCUCUUCGUCUACCCAACCAAAAUCAUCAUCAAAACAUGCGGCACGACACAACUCCUCAAAUCAAUCCGACCGUUGAUCCACCUCGCGCGUAACGUCAACCUCACGCUACGCGCGUGCCGCUACUCGCGCGGGAGCUUCAUAUUCCCCAACUCGCAGCCUUUCCCUUACACGAGCUUCGAAGACGAAGUCGUCAUCGUCGAAGAAAGCCUCCCGAAGUCUCUCCGUUACCGCAAAGCCUCCGUCAUGACGCCCUCUAAUAGUAACCCUUCGCGUGCGUGGCACGUGUUCACCGCGAGCGCUGACGUGGAGCCUGACGAGUCUCUCGUUGUUGUCGAGGUCUGCAUGACGGAGCUUGACCGAGUCAACGCUCGUAGCUUCUUCAGACGGAAAGGCGACGAGGGAAAUAGUGACUCCGCCGGGAAAGAGAUGACGCGGCUGAGCGGUAUCGAUAUGAUAAACGCAAACGCGUUUAUAUGCGACUUCGCGUUUGAUCCUUGCGGUUACUCGAUGAACGGGGUCGACGGAGACCGUUACUCGACCAUCCACGUCACGCCUGAAGACGGUUUUAGCUACGCUAGCUUCGAGUGCGGGUUGUCUCUUUACGACGGAGGUCAAGGAGACAUCGCCGAGGUGUUGGCCCGCGCGAUUGAUGUUUUCCGGCCAGGUUGCGUCUCCAUCGCCACUACUUACAACGGUGAGGAUUAUGACCACGAGGUGACGAAGCGUGUGGAGCGGGUGUUGGCGAAGAAGCUCGGUUUGAAGUGUCGGAGCAGGCUUAUGGAUGAGUUCCCGGGCUCCGGGACAGUCGUGUAUCAGUCAUUCACGCCUCGUCGGAAAUAGAUUUCACCGGAGGAGGAGAAACAAACAAAAAAGGGUUUUAGGUUUUAAAUAGUUGAUGACGUGGAGGGAGAUGAUUGGUUGGAUUGGGUAAGGAAAGAUAUAAGUGGGAACAUAUGAUCAUCAUGCGCCCCACUUUGCACUUGUGGCACUGUCACGCCUAAGCAUUUUUGAGGCACUGUGUUGUAGAAUUUUAGUGGGGGAUGGUAAAAAAUGUUUGCUCUUGUCUUCUUCUUUUGUGUUUUUAUGUUUGUUUUUUAAAAUGAUCUUAUAUCUUUACAUGAGACUCUUGAUAUACAUCUUCAUUGUUAUCUAUGGCUGCAAAUUAAUUUAUCAUCACCUAUGUGAGAAGUAUAUUGUGGUUUAACCUAAAUAGAAAAGGAGAAAACACCCAAAAAAAAAGAGAUUAAAAAAUAUGCAAAUAUGUUACUAACCAAGGUAGACCAUCCUCCAAUACACGAAACAUAUGGUAAAAACAUUUCAAAAGUUAUGUUCAACCAGCUUCCGCUAUGUUUUGUCAGUUACAUUCGGCGUUAGCAGAACAUAUGCAUCAAGUCGGAAUUAGUAUCACCAGAUAUACCUUUUACACCGGCUUCUGGUGAACAUUGGUCAAAUUAGCAUGGGCGUCAAUCGUCAUCAUCGUCAUGUCUUCCAAAAUUCAAAUCCAGUAAAAACUAAACUCAAGGCUAUCCAACACAACCCAGUUAAAACUAAAACUCAUGGCUAACACAACACAAUCCGAUCAUAACAUUAAAUUCUGGCAAUGUGCAUGUCUACGUGCUUUAGACGACAAAAAUACAAAAAAAAAUUACUCUCAAAUUUCACUUUUUGGCUUUUGCCUAUUGACCUUUUGAAAAGAAAAUUAAUAUUUAGUUAAUGACUUAAUGUCAAUAAUCGCGCAUGUAAACUCUAUCCACUCCCAACAUACUAAAAAACAAUAUGCACGUGACAAUCAUUGGUUAAAAGUAAAAAACCAAUUUUGUUAUGUCCAGUAGCAAAAUCACUUUGAACUGCACUAAGAUAUCACUUUGAACUGCACUAAGAUAUUCUCUGAGCAGUGGAAUCCACUCCACUCUGAAACUUUACUUUUAUAAAGAUUGAUAGCUAAUUCAUUAUUUUCCUUAAAAACCAUCACUUAAUCAAUUAAAAACAAUCAACAAUUCACAAAGAUAUAUAGUGAAGGCAGAAGAAAAAGUUUGAAAAAAUUGAGUUUUAAGAAGCUUCACUGCUCUUAUUUAAUGUCCAUUCACCGGUUACCUUUACGAUCACAUGAUUCUUUCUCUCCAAUAAGAUACAAAAUAAGUAGCAAACAAUUAAAAAAGAUGUGUAGCUUUGGGAAAAAGGAUGCACGAGGUUCUUCGUCAUAAGAAGUAUUAGCAUUCUAUUAAAAAGGAUUCAAAUGAGUGAAAUCUUCUGAAUGAACCAAAUUCAACUAGGAAGACAACAAGCUUUAUGAAGUGCAAAUACAAUUUCUGUUUUUUAUUUGUGAACCAUUGUUCACAUCUCAGAAGAAAAAAAACUCAACUAAUUAGGAGCCAUCAAAAGAAAAAAAUUCUCUGCAAAUGAACCGAAUCCUACCAGCAAGAACACACAAAAAAAAAAACAAGAUUCAAAUUGCUUGGAGUGAAAUUUGCUUUUAUUGAAUUACAUUGUAGGAAGAAAAUUUGUGCAUUUUGCAACCCGCAAAACAAGAAGAAUCAUAAGAAACCGUUUCACAAAGCUGUAAGGUUUUCGUAUAAGAAGUAACCAAUCACUACUUCGUAAUCAAGGAGUGGCUUUUCAUCAUCUCUAUCAUUUCUUCGUUCUCCUUUCACGGCAUGCCUUCAAAGCUUGAACGUCUUUGGAACAACAAAUCACAAACAACAAAAGCUUAUCAACACUACGUCCGAUUGUCUUUACCAACUGUAUCAUCUCUUUCACGUAAGAGAAUUCAAUUAAUCCAUCACUUCUAAAUCAGUUCCUCACACAACAAUAAUAAACGCAGUGUCAUUCUCUUAGGUUAAAAACCCUAAACCCAGUUCUAAAAUCUGCUAGUAAAUUUGAGAAUAGAGAGAGCUACGUACGUUUCUGACAAGGUUUCUAGUCCCUAUUGCUAUCAACAAGACAAUCCUGCCAAAACAAAAAUCAAAUAAAAUAAAGCGAAUAUAAAAGAUGGAAGAAAAAAAAAAAUAAAAAAAAAAUGGAUGGCAUUUUCGUAAAUUAUAUGAACUUGUGGGGUGAAUAGGGCAAAACCAAUUUUAAAAAAAAAAGAGGUUAGUUUUGUGUUUGACUUUAAGUUAUAGGUCAAUUUUGCAAAAAUCCCUAUAGACUAUUCGGAACCAACCAAGAACCUGACCAAUCUCAGGCUGUUAUCCGGUGUAACCAAAAAAAAUUUCCUAGUAUACAAACUAAAAUAUUACGAGAUACAAGGUAGGCCUGGGCUUAUGUCAUCGUCUUUUGAAUAACAUGAUUGAUAGCUUUAUAAAAUUUGGAUUGCUAAUAUGUCUUGCGAUACUAUACAGUUUUACUGAUAAACAUAAUUGUGUAGAACCGGCAAAUUUACAUUAACCCAUUUCGUAAUUCGAUAACAGUUUUACCAAUCACAAAUUAUUUUGUCGUUGUACUCUACAUGUUUUUUGUUUAUUUUUCAUGAUUUUGAAAAUUAUGCAAUAUUAUCAACCAGAACUAACAUACCACCUAAUGGAAAAUGAUGAACAAACACAAAAAUAUUAAAAUGACUCAGAAACGCACACUAAUUAGAUCUCUCACAGAGGCAGUACGCAUGCAUGCAUACUUACAUACACAACAAACACAAACUCUCAUCAUCUUUCUCGUUUCAUUAUGCCUGCAAUCAUGAUUUAUUGGUCUCUUAACCCGCAUGCUCCUCCUUUAUAUCCUCCCAAAUCUCUUCUAUAAAUACCAUUUCUCCUCUACUAGUCACCAGGCACUACCUCUCCCUUCUCUCUCUCCACACACAAACACAAACACACACUUCCUCUGCUCUGUUCUCGUUGCAACAUCCUCUGUUCUGUUUUAUCCCCAAUUUUUUUCUGACCUUCCAAUGGCAGUGUCUGGGUUCGAGGGAUUCGAGAAAAGACUCGAACUUCGAUUCUUCAACGACUCUAUAACCAAUACCAACCCAAUAGGCCUCCGUUUAAUCGACUUCGAAUCUCUAGACCAAGUCUUAAACGAAGUGCAGUGCACCGUAGUCUCCGCCGUAGCAAACCACAGCUUCGACGCUUACGUCCUCUCCGAGUCGAGCCUCUUCGUCUACCCAACCAAAAUCAUCAUCAAAACAUGCGGCACGACACAACUCCUCAAAUCAAUCCGACCGUUGAUCCACCUCGCGCGUAACGUCAACCUCACGCUACGCGCGUGCCGCUACUCGCGCGGGAGCUUCAUAUUCCCCAACUCGCAGCCUUUCCCUUACACGAGCUUCGAAGACGAAGUCGUCAUCGU
rnacentral:lncRNA from 1 species